rnacentral:rRNA from 1 species
ACGCUUGCGGCUCGGCGAGUUGUAGUUUGCGAGAAGCACUUUCUCGGCGGAUCGGUGGCGCCCAAGUUGCUUGGAACAGUACGUCGCAGAGGGUGACAACCCCGUCCGUGGCACGUCGCCGGCCGCUCACGAUGUGCUUUCGAAGAGUCGGGUUGUUUGGGAAUGCAGCCCAAAACUGGUGGUAAACUCCAUCUAAAGCUAAAUAUUGACGUGAGACCGAUAGCGAACAAGUACCGUGAGGGAAAGUU